ensembl:lncRNA
GCCCCACCAGCCCCACCCCACCCCAAGAUCCAGACACACAGCAGAUGUGGCCAGCACAUGAGCUCACAGCUGCACUUUCACACACAGUUGCUGAGCAGUCCAACUCCGAGACCCAGGCCAGACCAGGGAGCAGGGAGGGAGCCCUGACCCUUGGUAGGCAGCAGCAGUGUAGAAGAAAGAAAGAAGCAAGACGGAUUUGAGGCAGAGUGUAUUGAGAACAGGACAGAAAACAAAGUCGGGGGAAGAGCUCAGCCUGGCGGCAGGAGCUGCAGGAUAGAAGUGGCUUUUCCACACUGGCCCCCUCCUGGGGCCCAAGAGAGCAGGAGGCAGGAGGGACCUGGCAUGAGGUGCUGAGCUCCCUCACAGCUGCCCCCCACACCCCUCAUUUUGAUGUGUAGAAUGAGCUCACUGAGCAAGCACCCCUGUUCCCAUGGAGACGAGCCCAGAGCUCAUAAAAGCUGCAGGCACAGCCCAGCAUGGGCACCGCCUCCACCACCCUUCUCUCCUCUGAGGAGCCCAGAAAUAGGGCUGGAAAGAGGAAGUGGGUGGCCCUCAGCCCCCGGUCUUGGGAAGCUUCCAUCCAAAUCCUGACUCUUGUGUCUAUAUUCUCACACCCCACAGAUCCUUGUUUUGGGGCCUGCAUCACAUCAGAGGGGCUGGAGGGGCUGAGGAUCUCAGGUUACCUCAUUCAACAUCCUCGCUCCUCUGGAUGGGGAAACUAAGACCCAAAGAUAGGCAUGCAGUCAGUCUUUCUGAAUCUAGGUCUCAGUCCCAGACUUAGACUUUAGUCUUCUGUAUGCCUCCCCUCAAAGCUGCCGUGCACCUGCCCUGACACUCAUGUUCCCCUGACUAACUCCAAAAAAUCCCAAGUGGCGCCAUCCCCACCCAAGCUUCUGAUCCUUCAGCCUCCUGCAGCAGCUCAUUCCAACCACACCCACCAGGUCCCUCACAGACAACUCACUCUGACCUGCAUGGACAUUGUUUUCCAUUCUUCCCAGGGGACAAUCUUUCCACCUACAAUGCUUUUCUUCCAAAGUACCAGCCUAUCUUUUCAGACUUCCAGAUCAUCUCCACUCGAAGAGCCUUUUGUAUAGAUGAGAGAAUGGCCCCAGAGAGGAAAAGUGGCCAGACUCACCCAGCACAGGGAAAGCAGAGGGCCCCAGAACCUCCCCUCCUUCUCCCUCCCUCUCUCCCUGGGGCAUUUUCCCUACUGCACUGAGAUGGCUCCUUUCAGUCAGGGAGCUCUUGGCUGAGGUUAACUCAGAGCAUCUCACAGAUACCUCACUAAGGGGCUGCUUUCCUACCACCCCCACUCCCCCCACAGCCCUCCUCAGGGUUCUCCUUCUCUCAGGGAUCCUGGGAUGCCCCCACCCCGAAACAGUGAGGGCAAGCUAGGUAGAAGCAGGGCUGGGUGGGGCCAGGAGUUACUGAGGUGCAGCUGGGUCCUGAGAGGGUGUAGAGGAGGGGUAGGAAGCAAAGAAUCAGCAGCGUAGGCUGAGUCCGAAUCCACAGAACCCAGGAGAGGAGGAAAAGUGGAGGCAGGUGAAGCUCUCUGAAGCAGCAGAGAAGAAUCGGUGUCCAGGAGGCAGAGGGGAAGAGACAGGCCCACGGAGAUGCGAAUCCAGCAACAGAAGACGGGGUUUCUAUAUUGCCCAGGCUGGUCUUGAACUUCUGGGCUUGAAUAAUUCUUCUGCCUCGGCCUCCCUAGUUGCUGGGAACAGACACCUGACUUAUGAAUAUCUUAACUGGGGAAAAAACCAAGGAUCUGACAGAUAAGGUGCCAGAGGGAAUGCCACAUGCUCAGAGUCACACCCCCCCCAACCACCAAGGCGCCCUCUGAGCGCUCCUCUUACCUCACUCAGCUGGGCUGGGUUCUCCCAGAAGCCCAGCUCCUCCUGGAUGCUCCUGCCACUGGCCGCAGCCUCAGUUCUCAAAGCUUCGGAAAGGGAGCCAGUCACCCAGCUGAUGAAGAGAGGAAAAUCCCACCUCAACAGCAACACGGAGGAGCUGGAUAUGACUUCUCUCCUCCACAGAUGACUCAGCCUGGCUCUUUAUCAGAAGAACUGAUUUUGCAACAGCCUUUUAAAUGGCCUCUCCACCCCCAGUCUCUCCCCCGCCAAUCAACCCACCCCACACAGCCAGAUUCGCCUUCCCCCACUCCCAGCUCCACUUGCCUUUCUCUCCUGCUCAGAACUCUUCGCUGUCUCCCCAGGAUGUGUGGGGGAUCCAGAAGACAGUCCUCCUCACCCUGGCACUCAGAGUUCAUUAACCUCCCUGUGCCCUCAGCCAUGGCAGAGGGAGACCAGCAGCUCCUGGUCCCUUCCUACCUCAGACAGGGGUGCGCAGACCUCUCUCCUAGAUGGUUCUCUGCCUCACCCCUUUCUACACGCCCUCAUCCCCAGCCUCCCAGCUAAUUCAAAUGCUACUGAGCCUUCCCAAAAGCCUCCCCUGAUCCACCAGUGUUUUAUCUGCAUCACUCUGUGCAUUACUCACAUUAGCAAAAAUUACCCUGCAGGAUGUGCACCCCACCUGCCAGGCACCACAACAGGGCCUUGCCUCAUUUACCAUCUGAGCAACACUUACGGUCACCAGCACUCAUUUCAGAACUCAGAGGGAUGCAGUGACUUGUUCAAGGUCACACAGCCAG